AGAAGCCUGCCAAAAGCAAGGGGAAGAAUUUUAUUAGGUCAUUAGGUGCCAUGGUAGUUGGAUUCGGGUGCGUGUGUGCCCACGGGCGUGUUCAAAAAGAUCAUAUUCCUAUACUCAUGUUUGGGUCAGAGGUAUCUAUAAGUUGGAAAUAUGUCUCAUAUUUGGACCAAGUUCAUUAUCAGGCUUAAUAUUUUUGUCUAAACCUUUCUGAAUACCGGGUGAGGCUCUGCACAUGGGUGCUUGGAUUCGGGUGUGAGUGUACACAGGGUGGGGCUUUGCACAAAGGUCCUUGGACAGGUCUAGUUCAAGUAUGUGUCAGACAUGAUUACUGAAAGAAAAGCAAGGGGAAGCGAUAGCUUUUUGGCUCCGGGUGCUAAGGUACUUGGAUUUGCGUGUGAGUGUGCACACAAGCGUGUUAAAAAAGGGUGUAUUUUCUAUGUAUUAAUAGGAUCUCUGGAAGAUCAUAUUGUUAUAUUCGUGAUCGGGUCUGAGGUGUCUAGGAGAUGGACCAGGCUCAUGUGUAGCAUCAACACUACAUAGGUCUCAUAUUUUGGCCAAGUUCAUUCUCAGGCUUUAUAUUAUGUCUAAACCUUCCCAAAUACCAGGUGGAGCUUUGCUCAUGGGUCCUUGGACAAGUCUAGUACAAGUAUGUGUCAGACACGAUUAUUGAAGAAAAGAGGGGAAGUGUUAACUUUUUUGCUUCGGGAGAUAUGGUGCUUGGGUUCGGGUGUGAGUGUGUACACGAGUGAGGUCAAAAAGGGUAUUUUCUAUGUAUUAAAAAGAUCUUUGGAAGAUCAUAUUCCGAUACUUGUGUUUGGGUCAGAGGUGUCUAUGAGUUGGACCCAGCUCAUGUGUAGCAUUAACACUAUAUAGGUCUCAUGUUUCCACCAAGUUCAUUCUCAGGCUUGAUAUUUUUGUCUAAACCUUCUCGAAUACUGGGUAGGGCUUUGGUCAUGGGUCCUUGGAAAGGUCUAGUUCAAGUAUGUGUCAGACACAAUUACUUCAAGAAAAGCAAAGGUAAGUGUUAGCUUUUUGGCUUCGAGUGUUAUGGUGCUUGGAUUCGGGUGUCAGUGUGCACACGGGUGUGUUCGAAAGGGUAUUUUCUAUGUAUUAAGAGGAUUUUUAGAUCAUAUUCCUAUACUAGUGUUCAAAUCAAAGGUAUCUAUGAGUUAGACCAAGCUCAUAUGUAGCAUCAACACUAUAUAGGUCUCAUAUUUUGGCCAAGUUCAUUAUCAGGCCUAAUAUUUUUGUCUAAACCUUCCCAAAUACCGGUGGGGCUUUGUACAUAGGUCCUUGGACAAGUCUAGUUCAAGUAUGUGUUGUACACGAUUACUUCAAGAAAAGCAAGGGAAGUGUUAGCUUUUUGGCUUCGGGUGCUAUGGUGCUUGGAUUCAGGUGUGAGUGUGCACACAGGAGUGUUCGAAAAGGGUAUUUUCUAUGUAUUAAAAGGAUCUUUGAAAGAUCAUAUUCCUGUAAUCAUGUUCAGGUUAGAGGUAUCUAUGUUUUGGACUGGGCUUGGGUGUAGCAUCAACACUAUAUAUAAUUUCUCAAGCCGACCCAGCCAAGCUUGAGAUAUAGGUCUCGUAUUUAGCCCAAGUUCAUUUCCGAGCCUAAUAUUUUUGUCUAAACCUUCCCAAAUACUGAACAGGGCUUUGCACAUAGGUCCUUAGAUGAGUCUAGUUCAAGCAAAUGUCAGACAAGAUUUCUUCAAGAAAAACAAAGAGUAAAUUAGAACCUUAACAUACCCAUUCCUCAAUAGAGCCUUGUUCUUUGGAGUAAACAAGUUUUCCAGAUAUGAUUUCAAGUAACAAUAUGCCAAAACUGUAGACAUUCGUUUCCAGAUCAGCAUAAGGGUCCAAUUUGGAAUCUUGUGGUCCGUCAUCAACCGAGUUGUUCGACUUAGUUGCGGAGUCAAAACCGAGAAGCUCUGAGAUCUGCAUAAAAAAAGGAAAGAGGAUUCGAGUGUUGUUAUAUCGAUAAGAACUUAAAGAAGCUGAUUUAUAAAGAACAUUCAA